rnacentral:piRNA from 1 species
UGUACUUCGCUGCCUAUACCUGAGUGCAU